AUUGAACGCUGGCGGCAGGCUUAACACAUGCAAGUCGAGCGAGCGGCGGACGGGUGAGUAAUGGCUGGGAAACUGCCUGAUGGAGGGGGAUAACUACUGGAAACGGUAGCUAAUACCGCAUACCAUCAGAUGUGCCCAGAUGGGAUUAGCUAGUAGGUGGGGGAAUGGCACAGCUAGGCGACGAUCCCUAGCUGGUCGGAGAGGAUGACCCGCCACACGGGAACUGAGACCCGGUCCAGACUCCUACGUGAGGCAGCAGUGGGGAAUAUUGCACAAUGGGCGCAAGCCUGAUGCAGCCAUUCCGCGUGUGUGAAUAAGGCCUUCGGGUUGUAAAGCACUUUCAGCGAGGAGGCGUUACUCGCAGAAGAAGCACCGGCUAACUCCGUGCCAGCAGCCGCGGUAAUAC
rnacentral:rRNA from 1 species